rnacentral:rRNA from 1 species
GGCAGCACAGGUAGCAAUACCGGGUGGCGACCGGCGCACGGGUGAGUAACGCGUAUGCAACUUACCUAUCAGAGGGGGAUAACCCGGCGAAAGUCGGACUAAUACCGCAUAAAGCAGGGAUCCCGCAUGGGAAAUUUGCUAAAGAUUCAUCGCUGAUAGAUAGGCAUGCGUUCCAUUAGGCAGUUGGCGGGGUAACGGCCCACCAAACCGACGAUGGAUAGGGGUUCUGAGAGGAAGGUCCCCCACAUUGGCACUGAGACACGGACCAAACUCCUACGGGAGGCAGCAGUGAGGAAUAUUGGUCAAUGGGCGUAAGCCUGAACCAGCCAAGUCGCGUGA